UUGCGUGCGGAGCGGGGGAACCUUUUGGUUGCUUCCUGCAACCCCCCUUCCCCAGGGCUACGCUGUAGCCAGAUGGCCGUUACAUGUUUAUCGGUGCAGUUGCAAAACUAGGUUGGUUCGAUCAGUGUCAUUUUAGUCGUCGAUUGGAUUCUUCUUUUCGGUCUUUCAGGUUCUCUUUAUGCGAUUAUUUUUUGCCACCACUUCUCUUUCUUUCUGUUGUGACGACAGACGCGGUUUGCUAGUUCGCCGAAGCCGAUUGGCAUAUUGGCCAAAUGGCCUUAUGACCACAAUGUUGCGCGAUUAUGUGACCAAAAGAUCGUGCAAUCGUGCGGCUGAAUCCAAAAAACCAGA
rnacentral:lncRNA from 1 species